GACGAACGCUGGCGGCGUGCCUAAUACAUGCAAGUAGAACGCUGAAGAGAGGAGCUUGCUCUUCUUGGAUGAGUUGCGAACGGGUGAGUAACGCGUAGGUAACCUGCCUUGUAGCGGGGGAUAACUAUUGGAAACGAUAGCUAAUACCGCAUAACAAUGGAUGACACAUGUCAUUUAUUUGAAAGGGGCAAUUGCUCCACUACAAGAUGGACCUGCGUUGUAUUAGCUAGUAGGUGAGGUAAUGGCUCACCUAGGCGACGAUACAUAGCCGACCUGAGAGGGUGAUCGGCCACACUGGGACUGAGACACGGCCCAGACUCCUACGGGAGGCAGCAGUAGGGAAUCUUCGGCAAUGGGGGCAACCCUGACCGAGCAACGCCGCGUGAGUGAAGAAGGUUUUCGGAUCGUAAAGCUCUGUUGUAAGUCAAGAACGGGUGUGAGAGUGGAAAGUUCACACUGUGACGGUAGCUUACCAGAAAGGGACGGCUAACUACGUGCCAGCAGCCGCGGUAAUACGUAGGUCCCGAGCGUUGUCCGGAUUUAUUGGGCGUAAAGCGAGCGCAGGCGGUUUGAUAAGUCUGAAGUUAAGGCUGUGGCUCACCAUAGUUCGCUUUGGAAACUGUCAAACUUGAGUGCAGAAGGGGAGAGUGGAAUUCCAUGUGUAGCGGUGAAAUGCGUAGAUAUAUGGAGGAACACCGGUGGCGAAAGCGGCUCUCUGGUCUGUAACUGACGCUGAGGCUCGAAAGCGUGGGGAGCGAACAGGAUUAGAUACCCUGGUAGUCCACGCCGUAAACGAUGAGUGCUAGGUGUUGGAUCCUUUCCGGGAUUCAGUGCCGCAGCUAACGCAUUAAGCACUCCGCCUGGGGAGUACGACCGCAAGGUUGAAACUCAAAGGAAUUGACGGGGGCCCGCACAAGCGGUGGAGCAUGUGGUUUAAUUCGAAGCAACGCGAAGAACCUUACCAGGUCUUGACAUCCCGAUGCUAUUUCUAGAGAUAGAAAGUUACUUCGGUACAUCGGUGACAGGUGGUGCAUGGUUGUCGUCAGCUCGUGUCGUGAGAUGUUGGGUUAAGUCCCGCAACGAGCGCAACCCCUAUUGUUAGUUGCCAUCAUUCAGUUGGGCACUCUAGCGAGACUGCCGGUAAUAAACCGGAGGAAGGUGGGGAUGACGUCAAAUCAUCAUGCCCCUUAUGACCUGGGCUACACACGUGCUACAAUGGUUGGUACAACGAGUUGCGAGUCGGUGACGGCGAGCUAAUCUCUUAAAGCCAAUCUCAGUUCGGAUUGUAGGCUGCAACUCGCCUACAUGAAGUCGGAAUCGCUAGUAAUCGCGGAUCAGCACGCCGCGGUGAAUACGUUCCCGGGCCU
rnacentral:rRNA from 1 species